CUCUAGCUAGUCUAGUGGCUAGGGUUCCUGGUUUUCACUCAGGCUGCCCAGGUUCAAUUCCUGAGCAGAGA
rfam:Sus scrofa chromosome X.